GCUUUCGCGUUGGUUGGUUGGUGGCGGUCGGUCCGACCACGACGACGAAAACUCACUCACCCGUCCCUUCAGACGCGUGCACCUUUUCUUCCACCGCCCGCCCACCCACCCAAAAACCCAGAUGUUUCGAUGAGGAUGAGCCUCGGCUGUUCCGGCUAGCCAGCCUCCAGCGCUCCGGACGGAGGUUCUCCUCUGCAGCAUCGCUGGCUUUCGGCACGUCGUCGUCGUCUACUUCCCGCUCGAGAGAUGCAUCUCUGCUGCGCAGACUUGGCCGGCCUCGGGGGUUUGCUUCGGUUCUCUCUCUGGUGGGAUGUCAAGACGGCACUGCACCCCCCCCCCAGCCCCCGGGAUGAAGUUUAGCCGCCGCCGCCGCCGCCGCCGCCACCACUACCCGGUGCACUCUGGGAGUUGUGGUCCACCCGACCUCUCCGCCUCUACCAUGGCGGCCCAGAAGCAAGAGGAAGUCUGACUCCAAACCGGUUAGACCAGAACAAACACGCCCCCCCGCCCCCCCCCGCCCCGCCCCGCCCC